UCGUUUUGAUUCGGUUUCAUUCUCCAAACCCUAGACGGCCGACCCCUUUAUCGUCCCAUCGAGAGAAGCGAUCGAACCCUAGACGGCCGACCCUGCAGAACGUCCCAUCGAGUAAUCAGAAAAACCAUUCUCAUUCGAUCUCACCAGAAUCUUUCAGAUCUCAUCUUCCACCACCGGAGUCCGAUUCACCGGAGUUUAAUUCAACCAUUGGAUCGGAUUUCCUUUUACCCACAAACUCAUUCACCCUCUCACAAACACCUUUCAGUUCCAUUGAUUCGCUUCAAAUUUCAGGAUUUGAUUUCGAAUUUUGAAGUGGCAAUAGCUUUAUAUCAAUCCUCAAAUAUGGGAAGCCAAGAUGGGGCCAUUAGCUUGGGCUUUGAUAGUUUGGCGUUGCAAUUUGACGUUGCAGGGGCCAUUAGUGUUCUCAUCCAUCUUUUACCUGGUUAACUUGCUCGGGAAGUAUACGAGGGAUUGCGGCAAGAGGCUUCUAGUCUGAUCAUUCAGAGGUGUUUUCGCAUGCAUAUUGCUAGGAAGGCAUACAAUGAAUUGUACAGCUCAACUAUUUCUAUUCAAAUUGAUAUGCGAGGGAUGGCCGCUCAAUGAAAUGUUUUAAAGUUGUUAAACAAUUUGGUUUGCUUGGACAUAUUUCUUGCAGAAGAUCUCCUUUUGACAUUUGUAGUUGUCAGGAUGGUUUUAUGAAGAUCGAGGUGUUCGUUGAUUUUGCAAUGUUGUUCGAGGUGUUCGAGAUGAAGAUCCUAAAGGGAAAGAAAUGGAGAGAGCAUUGAUGAGGUUACUUGGAAAUUCAACAUCACUCGCUUCCUGUUGUUUUCAUUGGUGGUAAAUUAGUUGGUUCUAUGGAUAGAGUUUUGGCUUUUCAUAUUAAUGGGCUGUCUGCUUGGAAUUAGACUUGGAAUUAAUUAGUGAUAAUGUUAAGCAUUGACUUUUAAUGUGUUGAAUGUAACUUGUUGGCUUUGUUAGAAUUGACAAUGACUUGUGGAAAAUAAUAUUCGGAAUUAUGUCAAUUUUCUUUUGCGUUAUUAGCUACU